GCCGGCAGCCAUAUCACCCUGGAGCCCAAGACCGGUUGCCCACUGAAGCUAAGCAGGGCUGAGCCUGGUCAGUACCUGGAUGGGAGACCUCCUGGGAAAACUAGGUUGCUGCUGGAA
ensembl:rRNA 5S_rRNA 5S ribosomal RNA